ACAACACAUUGGGCUUGGACAGAAAUGUGGUAAUACUACUUUCACACAAGUGAUGGCACCCCUGUACACACACAGCACCAAACA